GGGCUAAAUCAAUUACUAAAAAUUAUUUGAUAAAAUAAUUGGUUAAUGAACCUAUCCAUGAAUGCAUAUGGGUGAGCUGGCUAAAGUCGAACUUGUGUGCAGUUUGUGUGGAUUCUAUUACCCGCUAAGGAAUUAAAAUAAUUCUUCGAGUUGGAGGUAGAGGCUAUCAAUUCAUAUAAAAUAGUAAAAGAACUUUUAGAC
rnacentral:lncRNA from 1 species